UGGGGUGUAGCCAAGCGGUAAGGCAGCGGGUUUUGAUCCCGUCAUGCGUAGGUUCGAAUCCUACCACCCCAGCCA
rnacentral:tRNA from 6 species